GCUGGAAUAGCUCAGAGGUAGAGCACUUCACUCGUAAUGAAGGGGUCGUGGGUUCAAUUCCCACUUCCAGCU
rnacentral:tRNA from 1 species